rnacentral:ncRNA from 2 species
CGAUAGCGGAUAGUACCGUGAGGGAAUGGUGAAAAGUACCGCGGGAGCGGAGUGAAAUAGUACCUGAAACCGUGUGCCUACAAGCCGUGGGAGCGUCGGGUAGGAACUUGUUCCUGCCUCGUGACUGCGUGCCUUUUGAAGAAUGAGCCUGCGAGUUUGCGGUGUGUUGCGAGGUUAACCCGUGUGGGGAAGCCGUAGCGAAAGCGAGUCCGAACAGGGCGAUCUAGUAGCGCGCUCAAGACCCGAAGCGGAGUGAUCUAGCCAUGGGCAGGUUGAAGCGGAGGUAAGACUUCGUGGAGGACCGAACCCACCAG